AAAAUUUGCCAAUAAAUAAUUACCACCAAAAUUUAUACUAUUAGAUUUAUUCUUUUGCUAAAUCUGACCCUAAAUUGACCGGCAGAAAUUUUUGGUAAAUCCGUCCAUAAUUCCGACGGUACCCUACAAUUUUCUUAUAGUUUUGACUUCUAAUCUUCUUUUUGACUUCCUCUGAUCCUGAUUCUCGAAUUCUCUCUUGUUCUAGGUUCGUCAUCACUGGACCUUUCUUGAAGAUCCUUCAUCUAUUCCCUGAUUUAGCUUUUGACUAAUUUCUAUACUUACAUGAUGUGAAUUUUUCUUUUUCUGAGUUGUACUGUUCCAUUGCACUUGCUGAACUUUAUGUUGAUAUGUGCAUGGUUCUCGGUUUUUGGCCUUGAAUAUAGUUCCUACAAUUUUACUCUUCUAUUUGGCGCUUUCAUUAGCCAUGGCAGUUGCUGAGAACACGAGAAUGAAGGGGAUAGAGGCUGACUUCAAGAGAUUUUUUCAGAGAAUAGAGCAAAGAGAGCUCGGAUCUCUGAGGCAGCGGAUGUGAAAUUUGAGGCGAUCCAGAGAUCAAUUACGCAAUUCCUCAACGAACAUACUCGCAAUCACUCCCCUUUUGUUGAGCCGCUCCAUGGAUCGAACUCCAAUGCCAAUUACAACUACCGCAAUGUACUACCGCAUCGAAGGGUAAACUUUCACUCCAUGGAUCAAACUCCAGAUGCAUUGGGUUGGAUAUUUUCACUAGAACAAUAUUUUGAUUUUUUUUUUUCAAGUCCCUCUCAUGAAGAACACGUUGGUAUAACGACCAUUCACAUGUCUGGAUGGCUAUCCCUUAGUUUCAAAGCAAAAGAAAGAAGGGCCUUUGCUUUUGGUGUGAUGAGAAAUUUUCAGCCAAUCACAAAUGUCCAAAUCGACACUUUAUUCCGUACUAAUUUGAAGGUGAGGAGGAGAUUGAUGUGGAGUGUGUUAGUGAAGAACAACCAGCGCCUGAGGAGAUAUGCAGCAAUUGGAUCAACAGCUCGGACAACUUUAUCUUGCCAAGGAUUGCCAAGUUUUUGAAUCUGCCAAUAGAACAAGCUCCGGGUUUCAAGGUCAUAAUGGGAAAUUUCACAGUAAUGAGCGUAGAAAGAUGCAUUUCUUCUGUGGAAAUCAGCAUUCAGGACUGUAAAGUCAACAUCCCAGAGGUUUAUGUGUUACAUCUUGCAGGUGGGGACAUGGUCAUUAGUACAACUUGGCUCAAGCAACUUAGAGCGCACAUAGUUGAUUAUGAUGCCUCCUUCGUCAGAUCUUGCAUGACGGACAAUUUGUAGCUGUGUAUGGUGAGAAUUCACCAAUUACCUCACAAGCACAAUUUCAUCAUAUUUGCAGAAUGGUAAGCACUGAUGCUAUUACUGAAGCAUUCACCUUGCAAGUGUGCAACACUGAUGAGAAAUCUAGUUCCCCACUGCAGCUGCCAGAAAAUUUGGAGCCAGAGUUAGCUCUCUUGUUACUUACAUAUGCACCAGUCUUUGCACAGCCCUCGGGUCUACCUCCGUAACAUGCACAUGAUCACAGCAUUCAUUUGAUACAAGGAUUGAAUCCGGUUAAGGUUCGACCUUAUAGGUAUCCGCAAAGCCAAAAGGUGCAAAUCAAAGUAAUGGUGCAGCAAAUGUUGGAUGAAGGAAUUAUACAACCAAGUAAAAGCCCUUUCUCAUCUCCAAUCCUGUUGGUCAAGAAGAAGGGUGGUACAUGGAGAUUUUGCACUGACUAUCGUGCUCUCAGCAACAUCACAAUGAAGGAUAGCUUUCCAAUCCCAACAGUUGAUGAGUUGUUAGACUAAUUGUUUGGGCUAAGGUGUUUUCAAAAUUGGAUCUGCAUUCAUCUUACCACCAAAUCUUGAAGCUAGAAGAUAGAUACAGAACGGUCUUUUGGACUCACCAAGGAUAAUACGAAUGGCUAGUGAUGCCAUUUGGUUUAACCCAUGCACCAGCCAUCUUCCAGAGCUUGAUGAAUGAUGUGUUUCACCCUUAUUUAAGCAAAUUUUUUCUAUUUUCUUUAUGAGAUAUUGGUCUAUGGUCCCUCAUGGCAGCAGCAUUUGGACCAUUUAGAGUUAGUGUUAAAACGGUUGCAGUAGGAAACAUUAUAUGCAAAGCUCUCUAAAUGUCUUUCUGAAACAAGUAAAAUUGAUUAUUUGGGCCACA